rnacentral:rRNA from 1 species
CACGUAGGGGGCGAGCGUUGUCCGGAUUUAUUGGGCGUAAAGGGCUCGUAGGCGGCUCAGUAAGUCGGGUGUGAAACCUCCAGGCUCAACCUGGAGACGCCACUCGAUACUGCUGUGGCUAGAGUCCGGUAGGGGAGCAUGGAAUUCCUGGUGUAGCGGUGAAAUGCGUAGAGAUCAGGAAGAACACCGGUGGCGAAAGCGUUCUGCUAGACCUGUACUGACACUGAGGGACGAAAGCUAGGGGAGCGAAUGGG